rnacentral:rRNA from 1 species
AUCAGAGAUGGUGCCCCCCUUGUGGUCGGUGUACGGGUGGUGCAUGGCUGUCGUCAGCUCGUGUCGUGAGAUGUUGGGGUAAGUCCCGCAACGAGCGCAACCUUUGUUCUGUGUUGCCAGCAUGCCUUUCGGGGUGAUGGGGACUCACAGGAGACCGCCGGGGUCAACUCGGAGGAAGGUGGGGACGACGUCAAGUCAUCAUGCCCCUUAUGUCUUGGGCUGCACACGUGCUACAAUGGCCGGUACAAUGAGCUGCGAUACCGCAAGGUGGAGCGAAUCUCAAAAAGCCGGUCUCAGUUCGGAUUGGGGUCUGCAACUCGACCCCAUGAAGUCGGAGUUGCUAGUAAUCGCAGAUCAGCAUUGCUGCGGUGAAUACGUUCCCGGGCCUUGUACACACCGCCCGU